rnacentral:lncRNA from 1 species
CAACCCUCAUGGAGGUAGCACCACCGACUCCUUCUCUCAUUCUCAACCAACCAUCGUUGAGUUGAGUGCCCAGAUGGCUCCGCCCCUACAGAUGCAGACUUUGACCCCGAACCCGAUCCAGAAUCAGGAUCCUUUUUUGACGACCCCGACCCCGACCCCGACUAUGACGACGACGACCCUGACCCCGACUCCGAAGACGACCCCGACCCCGACUAUGACGACGACGACCCUGACCCCGACUCCGAAGACGACCUCGACCCCUACUCCGAUGAUGACCCCAACCUCGACUUUGUCUAUGAUUCAGACCCCGAUCCCGACUUCGACUCCGACUCCGACUCCGGCCCCGACUCAGGCCCAGAUUCCGAUCCAAAUUCCUACUCAACCUGUAUCCUAUGCUUCUUCC